rnacentral:rRNA from 1 species
GGGGAAUAUUGCACAAUGGGCGAAAGCCUGAUGCAGCAACGCCGCGUGAGCGAUGAAGGCCUUCGGGUCGUAAAGCUCUGUCCUCAAGGAAGAUAAUGACGGUACUUGAGGAGGAAGCCCCGGCUAACUACGUGCCAGCAGCCGCGGUAAUACGUAGGGGGCUAGCGUUAUCCGGAUUUACUGGGCGUAAAGGGUGCGUAGGCGGUCUUUUAAGUCAGGAGUGAAAGGCUACGGCUCAACCGUAGUAAGCUCUUGAAACUGGAGGACUUGAGUGCAGGAGAGGAGAGUGGAAUUCCUAGUGUAGCGGUGAAAUGCGUAGAUAUUAGGAGGAACACCAGUAGCGAAGGCGGCUCUCUGGACUGUAACUGACGCUGAGGCACGAAAGCGUGGGGAGCAAAC